rnacentral:rRNA from 1 species
UGUUUCCAUUAAUCAAGAACGAAAGUUAGAGGCUCGAAGGCGAUCAGAUACCGCCCUAGUUCUAACCAUAAACGAUGCCAGCCAGCGAUCCGGCUGUGUUCCUCAAAUGACACGCCGGGCAGCUUCCGGGAAACCAAAGCUUUUGGGUUCCGGGGGAAGUAUGGUUGCAAAGCUGAAACUUAAAGGAAUUGACGGAAGGGCACCACCAGGAUUGGAGCCUGCGGCUUAAUUUGACUCAACACAGGGCAACUCAUCUGGUCCGGACACAGGAAGGAUUGACAGAUUAAGAGCUCUUUCUUGAUUCUGUGGGAGGUGGUGCAUGGCCGUUCUUAGUUGGUGGAGCGAUUUGUCUGGUUAAU